UCAAUAGUAUAUUCAGCAUUCUAGCCCAGUAGUGUACGGAGGUUUUGUUCCCCAGUUCAGUCAUAUCUUUCAUCCCUUUCAUGACAGGGACUCUUACGUUCUCGUUAUACAGAGAAGUCAAUGGAUUUGUGGUUAAAAGAGCCUUGUCCUAGUUCGACAAGAGGAUCGAUGGAGCGUUCUUCCUAGCCGACCAGAAAAACGAAUCAUCCAGUUAUACGGGGGAGGGGAAAAUUAUUCUAUUCGUGUCGUACCAAAGUUGAAAACCCAGUAAAACUCUUCUCUCGUGAAAGGAACAAAAGUUAUAUCUGGCAAAUCUCGAUUCGUCACCAUUUAUGGGUAACACGGACAUGGUCCGACAUGACAUCACGCUCAUAUCUCUUUGGAUUCCCGUCAACCACAACUUCUUGUCGACUCCCACUUUUUUUGUAUUCAUAUUUCGCUUCUGGCUCGCCCUCCGCUUUCCCAAACGAAGAAGAGGAAAGCAAGCAACUCAAGUGACAGCUACGGUGGAGGCUCAGUUACUCAUCCCUAAUGUAAUGUGCACAGACAAAAAAAAAAAAAAACUGGGUAAAUCAAAACAUAUAACAUA